rnacentral:rRNA from 2 species
GUGGGUGAUCCGCGCGGUGGGGGUCCACCCGGUCCCAUCCCGAACCCGGCAGUUAAGCCCACCUGUGCCGAUGAUACUGCGCCCGUAGGGGCGUGGGAAAGUAGGUCAUUGCCCACC